CAAUAGCGUAUAUUAAAGUUGUUGCAGUUAAAAAGCUCGUAGUUGGAUUUCGGGGCAGCCUGGCUGGUCCGCCGCAAGGCGAGUACUGGUCAGCCGCCCUUCCUCUCGAAAGCCCCGACUGCUCUUUAUUGCAGUGGUCGGGUAGUUCGGGACGUUUACUUUGAAAAAAUUAGAGUGUUCAAGGCAGGCCUACGCCUGAAUACAUUAGCAUGGAAUAAUGGAAGAGGACCUCGGUCCUAUUUUGUUGGUUUCCAGGACCGAAGUAAUGAUUAAGAGGGACAGUUGGGGGCAUUCGUAUUUAAUGGUCAGAGGUGAAAUUCUCGGAUUUAUGAAAGACGAACAACUGCGAAAGCAUUUGCCAAGGAUGUUUUCAUUAA
rnacentral:rRNA from 1 species